rnacentral:rRNA from 1 species
AAAAUCCGCAGACCGAGGUGAGAUAAGGCAGCGAGCCCCUGAGGCGUAAGUGAGUUGAGCCUUGUUGCCAAGAAAAGCUUCUAAACGUUGAUUCUUAAGUGCCUGUACCGCAAUCCGACACAGGUAGAUGGGUAGAAUAUACCAAGGCGAACGGGAGAACCUUCGUUAAGGAACUAGGCAAUUUGGCCUCGUAACUUCGGGAUAAGAGGUGUCUUCUGGCGUGAGUGAAUAAUGAGCGCUGGAAGAUCGCAGUGAAAUGGUUCUAGGGACUGGUUAACAAAACCACAGGUCUCUGCAAAGCCGUAAGGCGAUGUAUAGGGGCUGACACCUGCCCAGUGCCGGAAGGUUAAAGGGAGAGGUUAGUUCCCCUUCGGGGGAACGAAGCUUUGAACUGAAGCCCCGGUGAACGGCGGCCGUAACUAUAACGGUCCUAAGGUAGCGAAAUUCCUUGUCGGGUAAGUUCCGACCCGCACGAAAGGUGUAACAACUAGAACAGUGUCUCGACGAAGGACCCGGCGAAAUUGAAAUGGCUGUGAAGAUGCGGCCUACCCGCAGUAGGACAAAAAGACCCCGUGGAGCUUUACUGCAACUUGGCAUUGAGUUUGGAUUUCAUUUGUGUAGGAUAGGUGGGAGGCUAUGAAACUAGGGCGCCAGCCUUGGUGGAGCCGCCGGUGAAAUACCACCCUGAUGAACUCUAGACCCUAACCUUUAUCCGUAAUCCGGAUAAGGGACCGUGCCAGGUGGGCAGUUUGACUGGGGCGGUCGCCUCCUAAAGAGUAACGGAGGCGCCCAAAGGUUCCCUCAGGCUGAAUGGAAACCAGCCAGAGAGUGUAAAGGCAUAAGGGAGCUUAACUGCAAGGCCAACGCGCCGAGCAGAGACGAAAGUCGGGCUUAGUGAUCCCACGGUUCCGUGUGGAAGGGCCGUGGCUCAUCGGAUAAAAGCUACCCCGGGGAUAACAGGCUAGUCAGGUCCAAGAGUCCAUAUCGACGACCUGGCUCGGCACCUCGAUGUCGGCUCAUCGCAUCCUGGGGCUGGAUAAGGUCCCAAGGGUCGGGCUGUUCGCCCGUUAAAGCGGUACGCGAGCUGGGUUCAGACCGUCGUGAGACAGGUCGGUCUCUAUCCACUGUGGGCGUAAGAGAUUUGAGAGGAGCUGCUCCUAGUACGAGAGGACCGGAGUGGACAGACCUCUGGUGUGCCAGCUGUCGUGCCAACGGCAUUGCUGGGUAGCUACGUCUGGCAGAGAUAACCGCUGAAGGCAUCUAAGCGGGAAACUUGCCUCAAGAUUAGAUCUCUAUAAUCCCGUAAAGGGAGUAAGAUCGCAGGUAGACUACCUGCUUGAUAGGCAGUAUGUGUAAGCGCAGUAAUGCGUUGAGCUAAACUGUACUAAUGAUCGAGAGCUUCCAA